rnacentral:rRNA from 1 species
UUCCGGUUGAUCCUGCCGGACCUGACUGCUAUCGGAUUGAUACUAAGCCAUGCGAGUCUUUGCAGUAAUGCAAGGCAUACGGCUCAGUAACACGUAGUCAACUUACCCUAUGGACGAGGAUAAUCUCGGGAAACUGAGCAUAAUACUCGAUAGAUCAUAAUGCCUGGAAUGGUUUAUGGUUGAAAUGAUUCGUCGCCAUAGGAUGGGACUGCGGCCUAUCAGCUUGUUGGUGAGGUAAUGGCCCACCAAGGCGAUUACAGGUACGGGCUCUGAGAGGAGAAGCCCGGAGAUGGGUACUGAGACAAGGACCCAGGCCCUAUGGGGCGCAGCAGGCGAGAAAACUUUGCAAUGUGCGAAAGCACGACAAGGUUAAUCCGAGUGAUUUCUGCUAAAGAAAUCUUUUGCAAGUCAUAAAACCACUAGUGAAUAAGGGGUGGGCAAGUUCUGGUGUCAGCCGCCGCGGUAAAACCAGCACCUCAAGUGGUCAGGAGGAUUAUUGGGCCUAAAGCAUCCGUAGCCGGCUCUGUAAGUUUUCGGUUAAAUCCAUGUGCUCAACGCAUGGGCUGCCGAAAAUACUGCAUAGCUAGGGAGUGGGAGAGGUAGACGGUACUCAGUAGGUAGGGGUAAAAUCCUUUGAUCUAUUGAUGACCACCUGUGGCGAAGGCGGUCUACCAGAACACGUUCGACGGUGAGGGAUGAAAGCUGGGGGAGCAAACCGGAUUAGAUACCCGGGUAGUCCCAGCUGUAAACGAUGCAGACUCGAUGAUGCAUUGGCAUAAUAGCCAUUGCAGUGUCGCAGGGAAGCCGUUAAGUCUGCCGCCUGGGAAGUACGUACGCAAGUAUGAAACUUAAAGGAAUUGGCGGGGGAGCACCACAAGGGGUGAAGCCUGCGGUUCAAUUGGAUUCAACGCCGGG